GGGGCGGGGCCGAGACCGAGCAGGGAGGUGAGGUUGCCUCACCACAUUCCAAAGGCGGGUGUGGUUGUGCUGCUGCAAAUUGCCCUGAUGGCCCCGGGGGACGCCCCGGGGGAUGGAGGGGUGGAACCUCACAGCCUGCUCCCAGUGUGGAGCCACAUGGUGCCCCUGGGGGAUGGGGGAAUACAGGCUUCCCUGAUGUCCAAGCAGGACAAGCCUCUCCCCCCUCCCAGGUCAAUACAACUCCUGGGAAUGGAAAACAAAAUGGUUUUAACUCAGCCUUUUUCCCUACUGCUGCUCCGGUGACCUUUAUUGGAGCAAGACCUCAAAACCGUACUUACAAACCGUUUUCAUACCAAGACAAAAAAGAAAUUUGCAAGGUACAAAGAGAAUUUGGCCGUAAUAGUGAAAUAUUUAAAAGCAUUGUUAAAACAACAUUAACUUCAAAUGACUUAGUUCCUACAGAUAUUAAAGAUCUUUUUAAGUGUUUGCUUACACCAUCUGAAUUUGAAUUAUGGGAAAACACAUGGAAGCGGUUUCUAAAAAACAUACUGGUGGAAUUAUUAAAAACUAAUCCCCAAUAUGUAGAUUUAUUAAAUAAUCCUAUUUCUUUAGAGCAUUUAUGCGGUGAAGGAGUAUGGGAAAAACCUGAGGACCAAACUAGGGCAUUGCCAAAAGCUGUGAUAGAUAAAAUCACUACAGCUGCAGAAAAGGCUUUCACACAGCUACCUACAGCUGACACUAAGGGCAGUUAUAUUAAUGUAAAACAAAUGCCCUCAGAAGGAUUCCUGCAAUUCUUAGACCGAUUAAGAGAACAAGUCUCCCGUCAGGUAGAAGACCCUGUGGUACAGACAGAGUUAGUCAAAGAACUUGCUCAGAGAAAUGCUAAUGAAUCUUGCCGUAGAGUCAUUUUAGGUUUGCCUGUGGAUCCCCCUCCGACCCUUGCACAGAUGUCAGCAGCCUGUGCAAGGAAAGCAGAGAUGUUUUCGCAGGAAAAGAGACCUCCCUGGACCACCCCAAGACCUGUUGCUGCAGUUUCAUCUGAGACAAGGAAUGAACAGAUGACGCCUGACCAGCAACAGCAAAUUUGUUUUUAUUGCAGAAAACCGGGACACUUUGCUAAAAACUGUCCUUUAAAACAACAGAAACACACAGAUACCAGCUUGCCAAAAAAAACUUACAUCACAGCGCUUAUCCACUCAGUGUGCAGACAUAAAUGAAGUGGAAACAAAUCUCUGUCCUUUAAUAAAAAGGGGGAAGGGGGGUGAAAAACUGCAAAAAUAUAAUUGUGAAAAACGUCUGCCUAAUAAGGUCUGGCAACCGCAAAAGCGAUUCAGACUUGUAACUUCUAAAGCUUUUUGUUUCAGAUCUGACCGCUGGACUGUCGUGGGAGUAGAUUUGCAGGAUAAUUCACAAGACCUGGCUGGACUGGAUAGUGAAAUCGCUGAGGGGAACCGGAAGGCUGAUUCCCUUGCUGCCCCAGCCGAAAAGGUAUGUCUCCCUGAUGUGUUUCAGCAGGCAAAA